GUGCCACUUCGGCAGCACAUGUACUAAAAUUGGAACGAUACAGAGAAGAUUAGCAUGGUCCCUGCACAAGGAUGACGCACAAAUUUGUGAAGCAUUUCAUAUUUUU
ensembl:snRNA U6 U6 spliceosomal RNA